GACGAACGCUGGCGGCGUGCUUAACACAUGCAAGUCGAACGGUGAAGCGCCUUCCUUUUUGGUGGGUGUGGAUGAGCGGCGAACGGGUGAGUAACACGUGAGUAACCUGCCCCCUUCUUCUGGAUAACCGCAUGAAAGUGCUGCUAAUACGGGAUAUUCUGAGUCUGUCGCAUGAUGGGUCUGGGAAAGUUAUUGUUUCGGUGGGGGAUGGGCUCGCGGCCUAUCAGCUUGUUGGUGGGGUGAUGGCCUACCAAGGCGGUGACGGGUAGCCGGCCUGAGAGGGUGGACGGCCACACUGGGAAUGAGACACGGCCCAGACUCCGACGGGAGGCAGCAGUGGGGAAUAUUGCACAAUGGGCGCAAGCCUGAUGCAGCGACGCCGCGUGAGGGAUGGAGGCCUUCGGGUUGUGAACCUCUUUCGCCAGUGAAGCAGGCCUGCCUCGUUUGUGGGUGGGUUGACGGUAGCUGGAGAAGAAGCGCCGGCUAACUACGUG
rnacentral:rRNA from 1 species